UACGGAAGGCAGCAGUAGGGAAUCUUCCGCAAUGGACGAAAGUCUGACGGAGCAACGCCGCGUGAACGAUGAAGGCUUUCGGGUCGUAAAGUUCUGUUGUUAGGGAAGAACAAGUACCAGAGUAACUGCUGGUACCUUGACGGUACCUAACCAGAAAGCCACGGCUAACUACGUGCCAGCAGCCGCGGUAAUACGUAGGUGGCAAGCGUUGUCCGGAAUUAUUGGGCGUAAAGCGCGCGCAGGUGGUUCCUUAAGUCUGAUGUGAAAGCCCACGGCUCAACCGUGGAGGGUCAUUGGAAACUGGGGAACUUGAGUGCAGAAGAGGAAAGUGGAAUUCCACGUGUAGCGGUGAAAUGCGUAGAGAUGUGGAGGAACACCAGUGGCGAAGGCGACUUUUCUGGUCUGCAACUGACACUGAGGCGCGAAAGCGUGGGGAGCGAACAGGGAUUAGAUACC
rnacentral:rRNA from 1 species